CUCAUUUGUUACGAAUCUUACUCUCACUCUAUAUCUUUUCUCUCUCUUUGGUAGUGAAGAUGGAUAUGUACAAAGAUGAUAGCUCACCAUAUUGUUAUUUCCAUCCAAAGGAAAAAUAUGUUGGUGUUUGUCCCUUCUGUUUGAACGAGAGGCUUCUUGUUUUAGCUUCAAAGCAGAGAUCAUCGCGAACUAAACACUUGUCAUCUUCACCAAUCAUUGGUAGUCUCCCUAAGAUCUUCGCCUUGAGCUCUUUUCUCAGUCGCCUCGAUCUCCGUCUCCAUCGGAAAUUCCAUCCCUCCUCCGAUCUUGACGUUUCCACGAGCCAAGAAGAUUCUUUUAUAUCGAUAAAAUUCGGAAAUGAUGGAAAUGCAUCGUGGGAGAAAAAAACGGUGUCAAAGGUCUGUGUAGACAACAACACAAACUCAACAUGUAAGACGCAACAAUCCCCUAUAACGAGCAUUGUAGAGCACAACAGUGCCAAGUCAACGCUUAAGUGGCGCAAACGUAUUGGUCAUCUUUUCCACGUCAUUAAACUUAGAUCGGGAUCGUCCACGUCUUCUUGCCACGUGGCAUCAUCAUCAUCCAAGGUCGAAGGAACCAAAGUGAGGAAACAGGGCUGGAUGGUGAGGACCUUAACCAGAAGGAAGUCCAAGAAAAGUAAAAGUUGAUUAUUUUCUCGCUUCAUAUUAAAUUCUACACCUAAAACCAAAUACUUUUCUAUUAUUUUGAUUUUGGUUUAGUCGUUUUUUCAGUGAUUGAUGCGUCUGUUUAAAGAAGUACGUGGAAGUUUUUAGUUGUUGUUGGAAAAGAGGCUUGCUCUGGACCAUACUUCUUUCUUGGCAUGUGUCUGAAUCUGAUAAAGCCAUUAAAAGAUGUGGAGAAGGGUCAAGAUAGCCUUUUAUCAUUAUUUUCAAAGUGACAAAAGAGAGUUUUUGAAGAAAAAAUAAAGAAAGGAAGCUAAAGAGAGAAGAAAACAACAAAAGUGAGUUGCUUUAGAAUAUAUAAAUUUGCAUGGGAUUCUCAGAAUUUUUGUAUGACUUCGAGUGCUCAUCACCUUAAUUUC